rnacentral:rRNA from 1 species
UACGAAGGGGGCUAGCGUUGCUCGGAAUCACUGGGCGUAAAGCGCACGUAGGCCGAUUGUUAAGUCAGGGGUGAAAUCCUGGAGCUCAACUCCAGAACUGCCUUUGAUACUGAGAGUCUUGAGUAUGACAGAGGUGAGUGGAACUGCGAGUGUAGAGGUGAAAUUCGUAGAUAUUCGCAAGAACACCAGUGGCGAAGGCGGCUCACUGGGUCAUUACUGACGCUGAGGCACGAAAGCGUGGGGAGCAAACAGG